UUUUUGUUAAACUAUUCUGGCUUAGAUACACUAUUACAGUAUAAAAGAAUUUAAUGUACAGCAGACAAAAUAGUAUUCAGCAAUGCAAACAGGUUCUGAAGACAGAAUACUCUUUAAAAGAGUAUUGAAGUAUUAUUUUAAAGUCCCUUUAAAGGGAACUUUAGACCUUUAACAGACUAUAUACUUUAUUUAAAAUAUUUUAAGCUCUCCUUUUACAUUGCAAUGUUACCCUGAAAUGCUUACAAGACCCUAAAUGCAUGAAAAUAAAAUUAUAGCAGCUGCUUUCUUUGUCUGUGUGGCAUAUGGAUUUUAGUGGCCUGGCAUGAUUGCUGCUGCCAGCAUAAGCCAGCAUUGGACUUACAGGUACCAGGUCAGGAUGACUGCAUCUCGUCUUUGGCCCGGAGUGGAGACUAAUAUAUAUUAUUUCUUGUGAAAAUGAGAUGGCUGAAUAUGUUUCUACUAGUGAUUCUUGCUUUGCAUUUAUACUGAAAGCUAAUAAAUUACCUUCCAAAUGUAGUUUUUGUUUUCUAUGAAACCAUCUGUUAGUAAAGCCAGAUGUGCUGCUAAUUAGCAAAACAGACCUCAAGCAGCUCUAUAUAAAUUUAGCUCCCUUUGUCUCUCUUUAAUAAUGUGGUUACAUUAGCUGGAACAGUCUGUUCAAUUUAUACUCAGAAACAUUGUUUGGUUUAAAAGUGCAUGAAUGUACUUGCCAAGCUCAGGUUUUUUAAUGCAGUCUCCCUCCUGUAAUCUUAAUUCUGUGACUGUGCUCUCUCUGGUUAUUGGUAAAUUAUUACAAAAGUAUUUCUAAUCAAUGCCAAUAAAUGUAUCACCUGUACACAA